rnacentral:rRNA from 1 species
GACGAACGCUGGCGGCGUGCUUAACACAUGCAAGUCGAACGAAAAGGCCUGCUUUCCCUUGUGUCUUCCGGGUACUCGGGUGGCUAACGGGUGAGUAACACGCGAGUGUUCUGCCCCCAACUUGGGUAUAAACCUGGGAAACUGGGUCUAAUUCCCGAUAGGACUGCAGGGUGGUGUCGGUGGUGGAGAAUGUUCUUUUAGUGGUUGGGGAUGAGCUCGCGGCUUAUCAGGUUGUUGGUGGGGUGAUGGCCUACCAAGGCGGCGACGGGUAGCCGGCCUGGGAGGGUGCACGGCGACACUGGGACUGAGACACGGCUCAGACGGCUACGAGCAGCAGCAGUGGGGAAGAAUGGACAGUGAGCGGAAGCCUGCAGCAGCGACGCAGUGUGGGAGAUGACGGCCUUCGGGUUGUCUACUACUUGGGAACGAGAAGAAGGCACGUGGUUGGAAGCGUCGUGACGGUAGUUGUAGAAGAAGCACCGGCUAACUACGUG